rnacentral:lncRNA from 1 species
AGCAGAGUGAGCUGGGAGGGGGUAAGAUGUGACUGGCAGAGCCAAGACCGUGGGAAAGGGAGGGCUGCGCACAGCGCAGCGGGCAACAGGAGGCCAAGGGAGAAGGCGGUCACAGCCUGGAAAAGAGAUUCUGAAAUGCCCUGCUGGGCAAAGAAGAGUCCAGAAAUCCUAUUUUCAUUCAUUUGUGGGGAAUUUGGACCCCAAGAGGCCAUAGCCAGAAGUCCAAGCUAAGAUGUCUAUUUGGAGACGCAGUUCCUCCAAGGAUCUCCCAAGAGCGUCAGGGGAAAGAAAAGAAACAGCUCCAAUUUUCGAAGCAGACUGUAACUUACUAAGCCUUCUCUCACCUCUCUGGUCUGGAGAACUGACUGAGGCCUGGUGUGGAAGAUCAUCUCCAUUGUAUUAAGGAGCCCACUGAGGCUCUGGACUCUGUGACUCACCCCAGGUCUCGCGGAAGGGCCAGGGGUUCACCCUCACUCCCUCACUCCUGCGUUGCUGUGAAGCCGCUCUCACCUGCCUGCACAGGCACAGUGGGGCCUGGCACAAGGGACACUCUCAUUGACAAAACAGCCAGAAAACAGUGGCGGCCCUGUGUGCUUCUCUAGCCUUUGUCUCAGGCAGGCUGGAGCCCAGGUCCCAGGCCUUUCUGGACCAGCCUGCUUUGGAAUGAGCCAGCUCUGUUGGGGACCCUGUAUGUUACCAGCUAAGCUUUUGGGUCACAGGCCCUAAACCACCUGCUUCUCCCUCCUUCUCAAGCUGUUCCCUUAACUCCUGCAGGCUGAGGAAGCCCCAAAGCCCUUGACUUUCUUACCUGUCACGCAAAAUGUUCACACCUUUCUGAAGUCUCUGGGGACCACUAGAAAGGCAAAGAGCUGAGGAUCUGCCUGGGUCUGCCCGGCAGUGACAACAUCUUGUAGGAGUUUGAGCAAAUGUCAGCUCUUCAGUUACUUUAAAAAACACAAUCAGGCCAGGCACAGUGGCUCACGCCUGUAAUCCUAGCACUUUGGGAGGCUGAGGCAGGUGGAUCACCUGAGUUCAAGAGUUCGAGACCAGCCUGGCCAACAUGGUGAAACUCCGUCUCUACUAAAAAUACAAAAAUUAGCCGGGCAUGGUGGUGCAUGCCUGUAAUCCCAGCUACUCAGGAGGCCGAGGCAAGAGAAUCGCUUGAACCCGGAAGGCGGAGGUUGCAGUGAGCCAAGAUUGUGCCAUUGCACUCUAGCCUGGGCGACAGAGCAAGACUCUGUCUCAAAACAGAACAAAACACAACAAACAAACAAAACCUAAAACCUAAAAUAAAUAAAAUUAAAAAAUCAAAACAAAAAACAAAUGUUCUUAUGGUGAAAACAUUUGCAAUCUCCUUUUAAGUCAAGGAGUCGAGUUUACGAGUGAGACUAAGAGGACAUACCCAAAAGGGUCAGGGACAUACUUUGUGAUUAGGGGAAAGAAGGGCUGCAGGCAGAGUUUGAUCCAGCCAAGCAGGGGAUGAGAACACUGGAGCACCAAGUGCAGGAAGGGCCAGGUCUGAGCAUUGCUUGAGAUGUCUGUUCUGAGUCCCUCUGGGUAUCCAACUCCAGGCUGCACUCACAGCUCAAGAAAUGCUGGCCCAGGCAGGGCCCAGAUGUGGCUCAACAUGGAAGGUCAGAUAUGGCUGGUGUUUUCCUCCUGGGAACACGGGUCCUUUCCCCAGGCUUCUGGCUUCUGAAAGGUGGCCUGGGGGUGGACAAUGCCUUUGCUAGGUGCAGAGGGGCAGCCCCGCAGAGGUUCCUGAUAUCUGGGUUAACAGUAGGCACUGUGUGCCUUCCAGGAAUCAAUCACACACGCAACAGCUUCGGCAGAGGCAGCGGCUUGUGUUGUUGCUUUUCUUGAAAAUUUGUAAAAAUGAGAGGGAUCAAGAGGAAGGUAGGCGCUCUCCCAACACCCGCUUCUCUGGGCUCCAGGCUGGGUGAGCUGCGGAUUCAGCCUGGCUCUGGAACAGCUGUGCCGAGCUGCUCUGCCUGGAAUUCUGUGUCAGUGUCUGUGUGCUAUUUUGUUUCCCCAGGAGCCAAAGUUAACAAUAAAAUCUAAGUUUACAAGACACCUUGGCUACAAACGCAGCAGCAAGCUUGUUUGCUCCCUGUCUCCUCCUCUAAUAGGAUGUUAAAUAAACGAUUAGCAAUCAUGGAAAUCUUCCGGAAACUUCCAUUCUUGUAGGGGUGGAAUCUGCGAGGUGCACAGGCAAUACCGACAUAUCCGGCAGAGUCCCCUGCCCUCUGCGGACGCUGUGGACCUCUUACUGAACGCCUGUUUCUUUAAGGCUUCUCUCUUCUGGGGUUGCGUGGGGGUCAUUGCUCUAAGAGCUAUGUUUUGCUUACACAAUGGGGAGUAGAAGGAAGGGAGGGUACUUUUGGGGCUGAACUUUUUUCCUCCAAAAGAUGCUAACGUCCUCACGCAAGUGCCUGAGAAUGACACCUUAUUUGGAAGAGGAUCUUUGCAGAUGUGACUAAGGAGCUCAUCCUGGGUGAUCAGGGUGGCCCCUAAAUCCAACAACAAGUGCAAUGGGUUGAAUUAUGCACCCCCAAAUGAAUAUGCUGAAGUCCUAACCUCCACUACCCGUGAACUGUGACCUUAUUUGGAGAUAGAGCCCUGAAAGAGGUAAUCAAGUUAAAAUGAGGCCAUCGGGGUGGGCCCUCAUCCAAUAGGACGGCUGUCCUCAUCAAAAGGGGAACUUUGGACACAGACACGCA